AAGACAAGAAAAGGAAAAGUGCUAGUAUUAUUUGGUUAAGUGCAGGCGAAAAAGAUGAGUCUUUAGAUGUUUCUUGAAAAUGAGUAAAGACUCAGGUAUUUGAGUAAAUGAAAACACAAUACUUAGAUUUCAAUGUGAAUUCCCCCACAGAACUCUCUCAUACUCCAUGUUCUUUGAAUAUAAAUUCCAUUGUCGUCUGCUUGCAAUUGAUUAUGUACGGAGCCCAGGGUGUCACCUGUAGGAGAAAUAAAUGCAGUCCAUUCCCUCGGAUUUGUAAACUGUACUCUCGGAUUUAUGCAGCAAGCUCCUAGGGAGCCUGCGUGUUAACUUACAGUUUUAUUGAAUAUUAUUAUGUGGAAUAGGCCUAUAGCAAAGUGUCUUAAGUGAUUCUCUAUCAAUUGUAGUAAGAGGUGUAAUACAAAGAUUUUAUCAGAAAUCAGAAAAAUUUGCAUCAAAAUCGUGUUUAAUUUGUGAUAAUCUUAGCACCUGAUUAUUAUUGUAUAAUAAACCCGGCAUUGUGACUGACUGGAGUAAUUUGUUCCUCUUUUGUAAGUCAUUUCAGUUAGAAAGCAAAGGAAUGACCAAAUGGAAUAACUGGCACAUUAUUUGUUUUGCUUCUUUUGAAACUAUCCUCUCUUUUUUUUUUGAAAAUUCAGGUAAUUUUGUAUUAUUAUUUUGAGCGUUUAUUUUAGGCUAUAAAACACGGGCGGCGGGGUCUUGUCCUACUGGUGAUUAAUGUAAAAUAAACACUAAAUACAGUGUUGGGAAGUCGUGGCCUAGUGGUUAGAGAGUUUGACUCUUAAUCCUAAAUGAGUCUCGGGCUGGCAACACCAUGACUGAGGUGCACUCGGGGACGGAUUGUUUUUUUUCUCCUACAGUAGACUUCUCUGGCUCUGUAAUUAUGGGAUAUGGUAGGGUUGGAAACGGAGGGUGCAUUUGCUUUAGAAUUACGACAGCCUUUUUUGUGCCGCAGUGACGCAAUCGGGUGCAUCCUGAAUUGGAACAACUUAUGUUGUGCCACAACUGUUUUUUAAUUGUGCACACUUCACAUUGGGAUAGACUUCAUCACGCUGCUGUAUUCACACUUCAAAUACGUACUUCCCUUUGGGACACAGCCUGCCUGUUGUGUAGCUAUAACCAUUUUUUUCAUUUUAUAAUUUUUAGCAAUUUAUUCCUUAAACAUCAAUUACAGCUUGACAAUGACAUCUCAUGCUGAUCACAAGUUCGACUUAUUGUCUGCUGAGGCAUGGCAUUCUCAUCUUCUUGAAGGGCUGCCCUGAGGUCAUUGAGGUUCUGGGGUGUAGGAUUACGACCCUCUACACGACGACUCAGCUGACGGUUUUCUAUGGGAUUCAAAUCUGGAGAAAGUGCAAGCCAUUCCAUUUGAGGUACCCCAGCCUCCAGCAGCCAUUCCUUGAAAGAUGAAACCAGGCCUGUGUUGUUCAUGCAGAGGCACGAUGACUGGAUUAAUGUUAUUCAGCAUUGAUGGCCAUCACUUCUGCUCAGUGAGAAUCAACUUUCAACAGAGAACAGGACUGAGGCCCACUGGUUCCUCAUCUAGCAUUUUAGAUGAAUAUUCAUGACUUUUUGUGAGUAAUAUAGUUGUUCUGAGUUUGGUGAAAUUAUCUCAUUCCAUUUUAGAUAUAUAUUCCGACAACCAUUAUUUUUUCACCUGCUGUUGCUGUUAUUUCAGUAAUUCAACUCAACUGGUGAACCUCUUGUAUUAAAUAAAUUCAAUGCACACAGACUGAA